AGAAGACAAAGAAUUGGGUUUUUUUUCUUCAUAGGGUUUUGGGAAGACUAAGGCAAUCGUUGCUGAAGUCAGUGUUGUAAUGGUGAAUCGGGAUUUUUAAUGAAGUGGAUUUGAUUACUCUUGACUGUUUUUGUGAAAUCGAGUUACGUCUAUGAUGAAGAAUUAAAAGGGUGUCUAUAGGAUUGAAUAUGCGGAGUGAAUGAAAUUUAUUGGGUUAAUCUAACGAGAUAGUCAGUGGAUACAAGAUU
rnacentral:lncRNA from 1 species